UAAUUAUUGACUGUUUAACCAAUUAAUUUUAAGUGAUUUAACGAAACAACUAUUCUUAUAUUGUGUGUGCUUAUAAAUUAAUGAUGAUUAAUUUGCCACUGGAACAAUUAAUAGUUCCAUGUCCAUGAUUUGUGUGAAUGAAUUAUUGAUAGUUAACGUUCUAGUUUUGUUUUUGAGAUGAAAGGAAAUGACUGUGAAUCCAUGGAUCAUCAGUGGCAAUUAAUCGAUUAAUUAACAUUAAUUGUUUCUGUCUUCACGGUUUAUGAUUUUAUUAUUGUUCCAGUUUCAUUCUGUGGUCUUGUGAGCUCAGCUAAGUUGUUUGGUUGCUGCAUUGUAGGAUUGUUGGUUGGUACAAGAAAAGGGUGAACAUUCAUAACAUAUUUAACCAGUUUUAAGUGAAUGUUUUUGAUUAAUGAUAACUGAUACAAAAUGUAUUUCAACCCACAAACCUGUGUAAAAAUGAUGUAACAAAACUGGCAUGUCAGUUGGCUAUCUCUAAAGGGAAUUGAUGUGACCAUUUAUUUUGUCCCUCUUUAUUUAUAUUUUGCUGGACAAAUUUACAAACACUAAUGACCAUCUUCAGUGUAAUUUUAUAUUGUUUAUCUAAUUAUCUAGUUAACAUGGACAUUGACUGAGCAACAACGGAUCAGAGUACCGAUUUCUCGACGUUAAUUGGAUAAGUAGAGCUAUUAUUAAACAUGGUGUAAUCUGAGCUAAUUACAAUAGAAAAUUGAUAAUCAAAAGUUCAGAAUCUUAACAAAAAAUUAACUGUAUUAGGUUUGUUUACAUGUUUUCAAUGGUCAUGGUACAUUGGACGAUGCCGGAUGUUGUCAUGGAGUAUUUAGUGGGUUUCAAAUGGCAGAAUUCAUUUCCUGUCUUAUGAUAUUAAGUAAAAUGGCUGAGGUAGUUUACAGAAAGCGAAUUACAUGUAUAUUCCAUGGAUUCCAAUUGUGAUCUCCUCUCAAGUAUUACAACAACAGCAACCAAAAGACCAAUAAUCUAAUAAAGAAUGGAGUGAAAAAAGUCAAAGUAUCAACUGUCAGAUUAGACAAUUGGUAAUGUUUGUUGUUGUAUUGGUAUUUAUGGAGCUUGUGAUAACCAUUACAGAAAGACCAGAGGAAGA